UUUUUGUCAACUAAUAAUGAAAAAUUGCUAACUUCAAAAAUAUUAAUUGUAUUUUCGAAAUUUUAUUGGUUUAGAAAUAUAUGAAAUAUAAAAUUACAAAAUAUUAUACAUUAAUAACUAAGUUUUAUUAUGUUUUAUUAAUAAACGUGAAAAUCUUAAAACAUGUAUUAUUCAUUGUUUAUUCUAAAAGUAGGGAAUCUCUUAUUUACUAAAGCGCAAUUCGCUUGACGAAUAAGAUACUGCCACGUAAUAAAUGUACAUAAUUAAAAAAAAAAUCAAUGAAACAAGAUAAUUACUAGAAGAGAAAAACAUGAUCCUUAUAACAAUUACUCGAAAUUACCCAUGAUGCUUCAUUUCGCACGUUUUCUAAAUCUCUUAUCUCUCAAAUUUUUAGAUUCAAUAAAAAUAUCAGAGAAACCCGAUCAAUAAAGACAGAAUGUGAAAAACAUAUUCUAUAUCAAAUUCAUAAAUCGUAAUUCAUAAUUUCAAAUCCCUAUUCUCUUUCUUCAAUCUCAAAAACAUAUAUUUUCCAGUGAUGCUAUCUCUUUCCUUUGCACAGUUUCAUUGACUAUGGUGGAACACGACAUUAUUUCAUCCGAACCAGUUUAUGACUAUGAAAGUUUGAGAAAGAGAAGACAUACUGAUCCGAAUAGCUGGAGAUCGGACUUGAAUAAAAAGACUUUAGAACAAGAAGAAAGAGGAGGAAGAUAUAAAUGUUUGUAGAAUCAAAAAAGUGCUUUUGAUAAAAGGUAAAUGCUCUUCGUGUUUCUACUUGAAUAUAUCUUCUUUUUUUCUUUUUUUUUGGUCUAAAAAAUAUAUAACUUGAAACAUUUUUUGAGUAAAAAAACCGAAACAUGGAAAAAUAAUAUGCUUAUGUGUUCUUCAAAAUAAUGUGCAACUAUCCACUUAUAGUCACUAUUUUACUAUGAUUUCAAAUAAACAUGUCCAAAAAAAUAUAUAAUCUGGCUUGAGCUUAUAAUAUUUGUCAUAUGUAUAUUAAGGUACAGUAAGUAGUAACAUACAUUAAGUAGCAAGAUCACAUAUUUCAAAACAUGAAAAGCUUAAAAUUACAAACCGGGAGAAUCCUAGCCAAAUAAGGUGCAACAAUACCCACAAACCCUUCGUUUUGCCCCGUAUCCCGAAGAAAGAAGUUUAAUAACUUCGACUACAUAAGUAUUUUCCAUGAUUCUAUAGUGAUUAUUACCUCUAGAUUUGUUUUUAUGAGAUGAUGUUUCUCUACGGACUCUACUAAUCCUGUUUUUUUACUGUUUUCAUUGGGUUUGUAACAUUAUUUUUGUUUGUAGAUGAUACUGAAUGAAUUAGUAGAUGUAAUAAGUAAAAAUAUAGAUUGCAGAUAAAAAAUGAAAGAACAAAACAAAGUAAAACAGGAUAGCUUAAUAUAUUCAACAAGCGAUUUAAGAUCAAUGUAAAGUUUUAUAAAUAAAUCAAACUUAAUUUUAUAUGUUUGUGGUUAAUUAAUAAUAAAAGUGUUAAUUUUCUAUGUAUAUGCAUUUCCGUCUGGUAUGACAAAGUUAUUUUAUACAUGUCAAUUUUAGUUAUUCGAAAUAUAAUUAUUUGCAAGCAAAAUAUGUCCAUGCGGAACAUGAGGUCAAUACUAGUACUUGAUAUUUAUUGAGUCAGAGUUAUUUCUCGAUUAUUAUCUUUAAAAAUUAGUUUAUGUUAUUCUAAAAAAAAAUUUAGUUUAUGUUUUCUUUGUAAAAAGUCGGAAUCAGCGGAAUAAUUAAAGGGAAGUUGCACGCGACGUAAGGCAGACCCGUGAGUGAGAUUGUCAUGUGGAGACAGAGUGGCAGUCACGCACGUGUCACGUGUCUUUCAUUUAAUUUAAACACUUCAGACACUUUUUAACUGUUUUUCUUUCUUUCUUUUUUUGAAACGAUUUUUUAACUGUUUUUCUUCCAUAAGUUACUAUUUUAAAUCUCCUUUGUUUGUACGUAUAUUUUUAUUUAAAAAAAUCGUAAUUGCAGGAUAAUACACGACUACUGAAAAAGAAAAGAGAGAAAAAGGGAAAGAAAAUGAUUUAUCGAGAAAGAAAAUAUUCGUUAAACUAAUAAAUAAAUAAUCCUAAAAUAAGGGAGGGAGAGAGAGAGAAGUCUCUUGGAGAAAAGGAAGGGACGUCGAUAGGAGCCAGAGGUCCACGUCAGACGGAGCUGUAAAAGUUUGAGGUUCUGACUUUUGCUAACGUGCACACUUUCUUCCCCGUUAAACUUUUUGUCGCUAGUAAAAUAAUAUUUGUCUGCAUCAAAAAGUUGAGUUAUUAACACUCAAACUCAAAGACAUUUUUGAUGUUUUUAUUACAAAAAAAAAAGUUUCAGCUACUGGAAUACUUUUUUAUAACUAAAAUCAAAUAAUUACUAACUUAAUGCAUGUGACUAAAAUGGUCUCACAAUUAACAACUUGCUUUAUCUCUCUCCUAUUCUAUCUGAUCAUCACCAUGCUUUUCUUUUCAUUUUGAGAAGUAUGUUCAACUUCUUCCUUUUUUCUAUAUCUACGGAUCCAAAAAAUCAAUACGGAGAAGAGGCAAAAGGAUUUAGAACCUCCGUAGAAAGAUUUCUUCAACUCAAAACCGAAGAUUCCGGUUGCCUCCUGUAACCGGCUCUCUCUCUCCGCCUCCGUCGACUGAAACCUCUGCCUCCAUCUCGUCUAUGUCUCCUCGUUGCUUCUUUCUCGUCGCCGCCUCUUUCUCGUCGCCGUCUCUUUCUCGUCGCCAUUGUUGCAAAAGCUUGAUGGGCAACAAUGGCCAGUUUAGCUUUAUUGCAUAUUUGGUCCCUAGAAAUUUGAAUAUAUUCAUUUCUGAUCUAAAGGUUUUUGAUUUGCAAAUAUACCCUUUUAAAUUGAUUUCAAAUUUUUUAUUUGUGCAGACUAUACCUUCCAUAAUUACAGGAACAGAUAUGUUUAUGUUUUUCGUGUACAUUGGUACAUGAUGGUGUAUGUAUACAAUGCUAAAAAAAAAAACAAAAUCUACCACUAUAUUUAUACAAGUUUCAA